rnacentral:lncRNA from 1 species
GUCUGAAUGUUUGCGUCCUUCAAAAUUUAUAAGUUGAAAUAUAAUCUCUAGUGUGUUGGUAUUAAAAGGUGGGAACUUCAAGAGGUGACUAGGUCAAGGGUAGAGACUUCAUGAAUGGGAGUAGUUCCCUUAUAAAAGAGGCCUGAGGGAGUUCAUUUAUCCUUCCUGCCAUGUGAGGACACAUAGAAGGCACCAUCUAAGAGGAACAGGCCCUUACCGACAUCGAAUCUUCUGGCACUUUGAUCUUGGAUUUCCCAGCCUCCAGAACUCUCUUGGCAAAUAGGAUUUUUCUCUUCUCGACUACCCCAUUUCAUCUUCAUUUAUACUAUAAACUAAGAAGCUGCCACAUCUUCUGUUUUCUGAGGGCUAAAGAACAAAGAGGAUAGAUGUCUGCAGGAUACCGAAGGAGAUUGAGAAUCCAACACUGGAAGUGGCCAAUAUCCUUUCUACCCACAUUUCAGUGGCUAGUACUCAAUAGCAUAUCCUCCUACCACUGCCAGGAAGGCUGGGAAUGGAAUUUGGCUUGUUGCCAGAAGAAGAAAAUGGGUUUGGUGAACAUAUAACCAGUCUCUGCCUCACUUUAUCAUCCCUGUCCUGCAAGGUGUGUUACAUGCUCUACAUUAGUGACCAAUAUGUAAUAUUUCUUCUCUCUUUUUAUGUAAAAGGGCAUUUUAUUGCUGUGUUUUUUUCUUAGGACAGUUGUUCUUAAACCUUGGUAUGCAUUGGAAUCACCUGGAGGGGCUGGUAAAAUGCAAAUUUCUGGUACCACCUCUAGGAAUACUAAUUCACUUGCUCCAAGUGGAGUCAGGAUAUCCAUGUUUUUAACAAGCAACCAAACUGAUUCUGAUGCAGGGCGUUUCACAGUUCAUACUUUGAGAAACACUGCAUCUUACUUUCAAAGUCAUUAAAAUAGGCCAGAUGACAUGGAGCCCUACAGAGAGAAAUUUUUUUAAGGAUAAGAAAAGUGGGAACAGGAAGCUGGAUUUUACUUGAAGGCUAGAAGCCAAACGUGGAAAAAACUUACAUCCUUAAGGAAAACAACAUGUAAACAUGCCUCGGUACAGACUAACACAGGCUCACUGUUAUGAUGUUUAUAAUUUCAUUUUAGGUAUAUCCUCAAUUCUAAGACACACAAUUUUGUUUCACAUUUUAACAUUUCUGAUACCUGGGUAUAUCUUACAGUCAAUGGUGCAGUAAAAUUAUAUUUGACAAUGUUUUCCCUCCAGAGAUGCAAAAAAAAAG